rnacentral:lncRNA from 1 species
CUUGAACCCGGGAGGCAGAGGUUGCAGUGAGCAGAGAUGGUGCCAUUGCAUUCCAGCCUAGGUGACAAGAGCGAGACUUGGUCUCAAAAACAAAACAAAACAAACAAAAACAUAAAAAAGACUAUGGGACAAUGAUAUUUAUUUGGACACAGGUCUCCAAAUCUACCUCUUCAAAAGAAACGGACACUGUAACAGCCUUGGUGUAACAGCCUUGGUUAAAGACUUAAGGCGUCCCCAACUAAGAGUGGGGCCAUCUCUAAGUUGGCCCCAGUGCCAUCUGCAGACAUUUCUGUCAUCCUCCCAUCCUUGGGGGCUUCUUUCUCCAGCUCCAGUGUGUGCGCAGUAAAGCUUGCAGCUGUACAGCCUCCAAGAAGCAAACCCAGGUCCCACACAGCCACAGUUGUACAGUGACGCCCUUCCCCGUCCCCUUGUUUGAGCUAUGCCCAAGGGACCAGUCUGGACUGCUAUGCCAUCUCACUCCCAACCCAAGCUCCGCCAAACCUGUGCCAGGAACAACUGGGAGGAAUAGGCCAACGUUUCAGAGCCUCGGGAAUGAGAAACAGCAGGAGGUGAGAGGACAUUGGUGAUGAAUGUGAUACAUGAGGUGACAGUCCACCAGAAGACACACUGAUAUUCUCCCCAGAUUUCCUCUCCAGAAACUCCUUGACUAAAUCAUCACGGGUCACCUGAAGCAGUCUCUGACAGUUUUUGGAAGACCAGGAAUAGAAUUUCAGGAGACUGAUUCCAGAUAAAGCCACAAUUAUGCAGCAAUGUUAUGUUCCUGAACCAUUAAAGACAUACAAG